UAUAUUAAGGUGUAGAAUCGAUUUUUUAGUACAUAUGCACUAAGCAAUCGAUACCAAGUUGCGUAAAAAUAUGAACUAUACAUAUUUAUGCUAAUUAACCGUUUUGAGGUUAUUGGAGUUGUCAUAUAGCCAUAACGACAGUGUAUUUGGAAAAAUUUCACAAUCUUAUAUUAAGGUGUAGAAUCGAUUUUUUAGUACACAUGCACUAAGCAAUCGAUACCAAGUUGCGUAAAAAUAUGAACUAUACAUAUUUAUGCUAAUUAACCGUUUUGAGGUUAUUGGAGUUGUCAUAUAGCCAUAACGACAGUGUAUUUGGAAAAAUUUCACAAUCUUAUAUUAAGGCGUAGAAUCGAUUUUUUAGUACAUAUGCACUAAGUAACCGAUACCAAGUUGCGUAAAAAUAUGAACUAUACAUAUUUAUGCUAAUUAACCGUUUUGAGGUUAUUGGAGUUGUCAUAUAGCCGUAACGACAGUGUAUUUGGAAAAAUUUCACAAUCUUAUAUUAAGGUGUAGAAUCGAUUUUUUAGUACAUAUGCACUAAGCAAUCGAUACCAAGUUGCGUAAAAAUAUGAACUAUACAUAUUUAUGCUAAUUAACCGUUUUGAGGUUAUUGGAGAUGUCAUAUAGCCGUAACGACAGUGUAUUUGGAAAAAUUUCACAAUCUUAUAUUAAGGUGUAGAAUCGAUUUUUUAGUACAUAUGCACUAAGUAGCCGAUACCAAGUUGCGUAAAAAUAUGAACUAUAUAUAUUUAUGCUAAUUAACCGUUUUGAGUAGUCACAUAGCCAUAACGACAGUGUAUUUGGAAAAAUUUCACAAUCUUAUAUUAAGGCGUAGAAUCGAUUUUUUAGUACAUAUGCACUAAGUAACCGAUACCAAGUUGCGUAAAAAUAUGAACUAUAUAUAUUUAUGCUAAUUAACCGUUUUGAGGUUAUUGGAGUUGUCAUAUAGCCGUAACGACAGUGUAUUUGGAAAAAUUUCACAAUCUUAUAUUAAGGUGUAGAAUCGAUUUUUUAGUACAUAUGCACUAAGUAACCGAUACCAAGUUGCGUAAAAAUAUGAACUUUACAAAUUUAUACUAAUUAACCGUUUUGAGGUUAUUGGAGAUGUCAUAUAGCCAUAACGACAGUGUAUUUGGAAAAAUUUCACAAUCUUAUAUUAAGGUGUAGAAUCGAUUUUUUAGUACAGAUGCACUAAGCAAUCUAUACCAAGUUGCGUAAAAAUAUGAACUAUACAUAUUUAUGCUAAUUAACCGUUUUGAGGUUAUUGGAGUUGUCAUAUAGCCAUAACGACAGUGCGUUUGAAAAAAUUUCACAAUUUUAUAUUAAGGUGUAGAAUCGAUUUUUUAGUACAUAUACAUUAAGCAAUCGAUACCAAGUUGCGUAAAAAUAUGAACUAUACAUAUUUAUGCUAAUUAGCUGUUUUGGGGUUAUUGGAGUUGUCAUAUAGCCACAACAACAGUGCAUUUGGAAAAAUUUCACAAUCUUAUAUUAAGGUGUAGAAUCGAUUUUUUAGUACAGAUGCACUAAGCAAUCUAUACCAAGUUGCGUAUAAAUACGAACUUUACAUAUUUAUGCUAAUUACCCGUUUUGAGGUUAUUGGAGAUGUCAUAUAGCCGUAACGACAGUGUAUUUGGAAAAAUUUCACAAUCUUAUAUUAAGGUGUAGAAUCGAUUUUGUAGUACAGAUGCACUAAGCACUCGAUACCAAGUUGCGUAAAAAUAUGAACUAUACAUAUUUAUGCUAAUUAGCUGUUUUGAGGUUAUUAGAGUUGUCAUAUAGCCAUAACGACAGUGCGUUUGAAAAAAUUUUACAAUUUUAUAUUAAGGUGUAGAAUCGAUUUUUUAGUACAUAUACAUUAAGCAAUCGAUACCAAUUUGCGUAAAAAUAUGAACUAUACAUAUUUAUGCUAAUUAGCUGUUUUGGGGUUAUUGGAGUUGUCAUAUAGCCACAACAACAGUGCAUUUGGAAAAAUUUCACAAUCUUAUAUUAAGGUGUAGAAUCGAUUCUUUAGUACAGAUGCACUAAGCAAUCUAUACCAAGUUGCGUAUAAAUACGAACUUUACAUAUUUAUGCUAAUUACCCGUUUUGAGGUUAUUGGAGAUGUCAUAUAGCCGUAACGACAGUGUAUUUGGAAAAGUUUCACAAUCUUAUAUUAAGGUGUGGAAUCCAUUUUUUAGUACAUAUACAUUAAGCACUCGAUACCAAGUUGCGUAAAAAUAUGAACUAUACAUAUUUAUGCUAAUUAACCGUUUUGAGGUUAUUGGAGUUGUCAUAUAGCCAUAACGACAGUGUAUUUGGAAAAAUUUCACAAUCUUAUAUUAAGGUGUAGAAUCCAUUUUUUAGUACAUAUGCACUAAGCAAUCUAUACCAAGUUGCGUAAAAAUAUGAACUAUACAUAUUUAUGCUAAUUAACCGUUUUGAGGUUAUUGGAGUUGUCAUAUAGCCAUAACGACAGUGUAUUUGGAAAAAUUUCACAAUCUUAUAUUAAGGUGUAGAAUCGAUUUUGUAGUACAUAUGCACUAAGCAAUCG